UUCUGGCUCAGGAUGAACGCUAGCGGCAGGCUUAACACAUGCAAGUCGAGGGGCAACGCGAGUAGCAAUACUUGGCGGCGACCGGCGCAAGGGUGCGUAACGCGUGAGCAACAUGCCCGUAUCAGGGGGAUAAUCCAGGGAAACUUGGUCUAAUACCCCAUAGUAAUUUUGUAAGGCAUCUUAUAAGAUUUAAAGCUUUGGUGGAUACGGAUUGGCUCGCGUGACAUUAGCUGGAUGGUAAGGUAACGGCUUACCAUGGCUAUGAUGUCUAGGGGUUCUGAGAGGAAGGUCCCCCACACUGGAACUGAGACACGGUCCAGACUCCUACGGGAGGCAGCAGUGAGGAAUAUUGGACAAUGGAUGGAAAUCUGAUCCAGCCAUGCCGCGUGAAGGAAGAAGGUCCUAUGGAUUGUAAACUUCUUUUGUAUGGGAGCAAUAAGGCCUACGAGUAGGUUGAUGAGAGUACCAUACGAAUAAGCACCGGCUAACUCCGUGCCAGCAGCCGC
rnacentral:rRNA from 1 species